CGAAUUCCGGCUACAAACUGUUUCCGCAACUUUGUGGAACUAAGUGUAAAUUCUGAGGAGGAGGCAUAUCUUUAAAUCUAAAUGUGAAAUUUGAUUGUAAAUGCAAAUGAUCUGUUGUGAUACCACAGGUUUAAUCUUCUUUCUAGGGCCUCUGCCGACGUGUAAUAAUUCACUUAGAGCUGGGCGGUGAAGCGUAACGGUAAUGAAAUGAUAAUCAUCGGCUUUAUCAUUUUGUUCUUUAAUCACACUUGAAGCGGUACUGAAGCCAUCUUAACAAAUUUCAGAGGCCCACUUCCCAGCAAAGCAUAAACAAAUUAUGUAUCGCCACCGCAGACGGCCUGCGAUCGCCGCUCAUAUCUACUACUGGCAUGCCGUACAACAGCCAGCUUCCACGGCUGAUCACGUGACACGUUUUCGUCGAUCGCUUGGAAACUUCACUGCCGUGCUUCUGAUUGGCUGUCACACGAACACAGGCGAUGUUUAUCACCCGGAAGCAUUGCGUACGGCUUCUGAAGUUUGGCGGUGCUCCUGCAGACUCAAGGACACAAGCUGGAUUAGAACCUGCAUCUGCUGGAGAGAUACUGUCAGAACCUGGCCCUGGCAGCGCAUAUAACAAAGGCAAAGUGAACCCAGUUUCGACACAGGAGGAACUUACGAGAAUGCCAUCUAAAGAGAAAACGAGAGGAUUGGUACCCAGGGAGAUCAUGGAGAGGGCUUCAGAUUUGGAGUGACAAGAGGCGCCCCAUCAAGGACCAAACCUAGAAAUGUACAACAUGUUGUACCAAACCAAACUUCAAAGAAAUGAAAACGGACGCAAGGAGCAAACCUAAGGCAACAAUGGCAAGGAAAAACUCCCUGUGGCAGAUGGGAAGAAACCUUGGAAGGAACCAGGCUCAAGGGGGAAACCCAUCCUCCUCUGGUCAGCUCAGGGUGCCGACUGGUGACCAACAUGUCAGUCAGUUUAAUAAGGUUUAUGAUGUGGCUCAGAUGAUGGGUGCUGCCAAAUUGAUCCUAGAUACAAGAAUGACCUUGUCAUCCAAGUGAUUUUAAUCGUGGGAGUAUACGCCCAUCUUGAAAGGUUUAAGAACCAGAAGGACAAGUCAGAUCAGUCUUUCUUUGGAAUCUCAGUUGGAAUCUCAGAUCUGUAGUGCAGACAGGAUCAAUCAAACAAACAAAUUGUAAAGUGAAGAGUCAUGAGAUUUGAGAAGAUUCAGCUCUUCCACACUAAAGUGACACAUACAGUGAUGAUCAGUACCAGGUACAUACAAAGAUGAUCGAAGUACACUGAUACGACACCCCUGUUUAUUUCAAUAAGUGUAUGUGAGGUGACAGACAGAUAAUUUAAAAUAAUUCUAUAAAAAUAAAUGCCGUAAAAUGCAACCAUCACUGUACAAACUGCUAUGGAGUUACAUGGUGUAUUAAUCAAUCAACUAAGCAGUUUAUAAAAUGAUGCCUCGUACCACCAAUGUAAAGCCUUUUACUCUUAACAUAUCCUUAAUUUCAAAUGAAAACGCUUCAGGACAGUCAAAAACAUACCGCAACUGCAACGAGACAAAUUGAGGUGGAGUUUAAUUGAAAUCGAGCCAUUUUGAAGUGGAACUGAAUUGCAAGUUAGU